rnacentral:rRNA from 1 species
GGUUAAGCGACUAAGCGUACACGGUGGAUGCCCUGGCAGUCAGAGGCGAUGAAGGACGUGCUAAUCUGCGAUAAGCGCCGGUAAGGUGAUAUGAACCGUUAUAACCGGCGAUUUCCGAAUGGGGAAACCCAGUGUGACUCGUCACACUAUCAUUAACUGAAUCCAUAGGUUAAUGAGGCGAACCGGGGGAACUGAAACAUCUAAGUACCCCGAGGAAAAGAAAUCAACCGAGAUUCCCCCAGUAGCGGCGAGCGAACGGGGAGGAGCCCAGAGCCUGAAUCAGCAUGUGUGUUAGUGGAAGCGUCUGGAAAGGCGCGCGAUACAGGGUGACAGCCCCGUACACAAAAGCGCAUGUGCUGUGAGCUCGAUGAGUAGGGCGGGACACGUGGUAUCCUGUCUGAAUAUGGGGGGACCAUCCUCCAAGGCUAAAUACUCCUGACUGACCGAUAGUGAACCAGUACCGUGAGGGAAAGGCGAAAAGAACCCCGGCGAGGGGAGUGAAAAAGAACCUGAAACCGUGUACGUACAAGCAGUGGGAGCACCCUUCGGGGUGUGACUGCGUACCUUUUGUAUAAUGGGUCAGCGACUUAUAUUCUGUAGCAAGGUUAACCGUAUAGGGGAGC